rnacentral:rRNA from 1 species
UACGGAGGGUGCGAGCGUUGUCCGGAAUCAUUGGGCGUAAAGGGCGCGUAGGUGGCCCGGUCAGUGUGCGGUGAAAGCCCUGGGCUCAACCUGGGAAUUGCAGUGGAUACUGGCAAGCUAGAGUGCGGUAGAGGAUGGUGGAAUUCCCGGUGUAGCGGUGAAAUGCGUAGAGAUCGGGAGGAACACCCGUGGCGAAGGCGGCCAUCUGGACCAGAACUGACGCUGAGGCACGAAAGCGUGGGGAGCAAACAGG